GACGAACGCUGGCGGCGUGCUUAAUACAUGCAAGUCGAACGGAAAGGCCCUGCUUUUGUGGGGUGCUCGAGUGGCGAACGGGUGAGUAACACGUGAGUAACCUGCCCUUGACUUUGGGAUAACUUCAGGAGACUGGGGCUAAUACCGGAUAGGAGCUCCUGCUGCAUGGUGGGGGUUGGAAAGUUUCGGCGGUUGGGGAUGGACUCGCGGCUUAUCAGCUUGUUGGUGGGGUAGUGGCUUACCAAGGCUUUGACGGGUAGCCGGCCUGAGAGGGUGACCGGCCACAUUGGGACUGAGAUACGGCCCAGACUCCUACGGGAGGCAGCAGUGGGGAAUAUUGCACAAUGGGCGGAAGCCUGAUGCAGCAACGCCGCGUGCGGGAUGACGGCCUUCGGGUUGUAAACCGCUUUCGCCUGUGACGAAGCGUGAGUGACGGUAAUGGGUAAAGAAGCACCGGCUAACUACGUG
rnacentral:rRNA from 1 species